rnacentral:lncRNA from 1 species
CAUUUAUAGAAUAUUUGUUACAGUACAAAAUAAUACUUAUGGAGGGCACUUUGGAGGUAUUUAUCAAAAUUAGAAUUGCCUUUAUUCUUCGAUCUAGUGAUCCUAUAUAUCUGCACAUGUGAAACAAAUGGCAUAUGUAACAUUGUAGACUGUUUUAUAAUAGUCAAACUUUGAAAAUAACCCAGGAGCCGUCAGUGUGAAACUGGAUAAACUGGUACAUUCACACAAUGGAAUACUAGGUUGCAGUAAAAACACAUAAGGAGCAGUCUCUGCAGUGACAUAUUAAGUGAAAAAGUGAAAUGUACAUGUUCACUUAUGUUAAAUAACAUUGAGAUUAUGUAAAAGUUGUUACCUGUAGAUGCUGGGUGUCCAGGGAUAAGAGCAAGAAUUUUCUAUAUAUCAUUUUUUUUUUAAUUUAGAGAGGGGGAGGGUAGCAGAAUUGGUAGGUUUGGAAGUUCGUGUGACAGCAUACACUUUUAACUUUUACUGUAUGUAAUGUUUUGCAUAUUGUGUAUAUUUCUUAGGUAUACUAUGUUCACUAAACUGUUGGUUUCUUUUACUCACUGCUCCUUAAAUUAUGUAAUAACAGGUUUUCUUUUUUAAAAAACUGUAGCUAUAUUCAGUCAUUCCAUUUGAUUAGCUUUUUAUUCAGCUUGUUAAAAAAUAUAUAUUAAAUGCCUCCUGUACCAUGGAUACUGUACAUUUAGUUACACAUGUGGUAGUUUCUAGGUUUUCCCCAAGAGAUCAGUAAGCUAGGGGAAGUAUAAUAGUUAAGUGCAAGGUACAUAAGAAGUUUACCUAACAGUAUAGGGGAUAAUGAAGCCAAGAUAGGAGGGGAGAGGAGGACUUUACAACAUUGAACCUCAGGGGAAUUUCAUCAUCAAAGUUGUGCUCUAAGGCAGAACCCAUCUUUGAGGCCAAGUAACUGAUCUAACAUUGGUAGAUCUUGUUCACUAAAAGACUUUUGGUAUUGUCGCAAUGGACUUAUCACCGUAUAUAUAUCUCCACCAACAGGAUUAAAUUCUAAUUAUUAAAAGGUCCUAAGGGACCUCCUUUUGUCUGUUAGGUGUUCUUGCUAAAAUUAUUGUAAUUCUGGGUCAGAAAUCAUGUCAGUCAUAAAUGCAGUCUUUUUCAUGAUGUCUCUAGAUAAAGUUUUGUCCCUUAUUUUUUCAUGUUAAAUUGUUGAUCAUCAUCCAUUACUUUUCUCUGCAAUUCAUGAUACCUUGGCAGCCUGGUAUAAUUUCCAGUUUAUUUGCACUUUGUAGAAGCUUAAAAAUCUGUUGAAGGUAAUGUUAAGUGUCUAACUUAAGUUCUGCUUGCAGGGGGGUUCCUUUGAUCCACAAUGUUCCCUCUGAUGUUAGACCAAAUAUAGUGAACCCAAGCCCAAGGAGUCAGUAUAUCUUUUAGUAAUUUUAGUGACUCAUCUAUAAUUGGUAGUUUGAUACUUUUGGCACAAUUAUUUUCUAGUUAAGAGAUUAUAUGAUAUAUCUAUCAAUACCUGGGAUUGAACAAUUGGCAUAUCAUAUACAAGCAUUGUACCCUAGGUCUGAAAUUAUAAUGUAGGAUAUAGACAUACUGCUUUUAACAGGUUGUGUGAACCUCUUUAAAAUCAAUGAAUUUCUGGCAGAGUCAUGGAGCUCAAAGGUAUAUUGUAGAAUUUGUAGGAGUCUGCUAAGAAUUAACACAUGGGAAUCAGGUUAGUUUGGAAUAAUGUAAGGUGGCCUGCCAUCUUCAUUGGUGUAUUUUCCUAUAACCCCUGAUUGAUGGGCAGCCUAAUGGCAAUUUGGUUGUUGCUGAUAAUAUAAGCUCUUUGCUGAUAACAUAUAAGGAUUUUUUUGUCAUUGUAGACCAAGGCUUUUUGUUCUUUUAGGAUGCUGUAAUUCUCUUAAAACUGCCUGACACUUAGUAAGUAUUCAUUAAAUGUGGAAUAAAUAUUGGUAUGGAUAUAAUACCAAUAUAUACACAGUACUAUAUGUGUCAUCCCCUCAGUGCAGUGUUUUACACAUUAUGUUUUUAUGUAUUUUGUAGUUAUUUUGGGGUACUUAUCCUAGUAAUUCUAUUACUUUUUGAAAAUGUUCCAGGAGUCCCGACCAUUGUGGCUCAGUGGUUAAUGAACAGACUAGCAUCCAUGAGGACAAAGGUUCGAUCCCUGGCCUCCUCAGUGAGUUAAGGAUCUGGGGUUGCCGUGAGCUGUGGUGUAGGUCGCAGACGUGGCUUGGAUCUCGUAUUGCUGUGGCUCUGGCGUAGGCAGGCAGCUAUAGCUCCAAAUGGACCCCUAGCCUGGGAACCUCCAUAUGCUGCGG